UACGUAGGUGGCAAGCGUUGUUCGGAAUUAUUGGGCGUAAAGGGCGCGUAGGCGGUUUGUUAAGUCGGCUGUGAAAUCCUGGGGCUCAACCCUGGAACUGCAUUGGAUACUUCCUUGCUAGAGUACUGGAGAGGAAACUGGAAUUUACGGUGUAGCAGUGAAAUGCGUAGAGAUCGUAAGGAAGACCAGUGGCGAAGGCGAGUUUCUGGACAGUUACUGACGCUGAGGCACGAAGGCCAGGGGAGCAAACGGG
rnacentral:rRNA from 1 species